UCUACGGGCCGCAGCAGUGGGGAAUAUUGGGCAAUGGGGGAAACCCUGACCCAGCAACGCCGCGUGAGGGAAGAAGGUUUUCGGAUCGUAAACCUCUGUCCUUGGUGAAGAGGAAGAGACGGUAGCCAAGGAGGAAGCCCCGGCUAACUACGUGCCAGCAGCCGCGGUAAUA
rnacentral:rRNA from 1 species